AGUCAAUAGAUACCCCGGUAGUCCACGCCGUAAACGAUGAGUGCCCAGGUGUCGGGGGACUUAGUCCUCGGCGCCGCAGCUAAACGCCUUAAGCACUCCGCCUGGGGAGUACGGCCGCAAGGUUAAAACUCAAAGGAAUUGACGGGGCCCGGCACAAGCGGUGGAGCAUGUGGUUUAAUUCGACGCAACGCGCAGAACCUUACCAGGCCUUGACAUCCCACGCGACCUCGAGAGAUCGGGGGUUCCCUUCGGGGUACGUGGAGACAGGUGCUGCAUGGCUGUCGUCAGCUCGUGUCGUGAGAUGUUGGGUUAAGUCCCGCAACGAGCGCAACCCUCGCUUCAGUUGCCAUCAUUCAGUUGGGCACUCUGGAGGGACUGCCGGUGACAAGCCGGAGGAAGGUGGGGAUGACGUCAAGUCCUCAUGGCCCUUACGGCCUGGGCUACACACGUGCUACAAUGGCGGUGACAGAGGGCAGCGAUCCCGCGAGGGGUAGCCAAUCUCCAAAAGCCGUCUCAGUUCAGAUUGCACUCUGC
rnacentral:rRNA from 1 species